rnacentral:misc_RNA from 1 species
GUGAGUCAUCGAAUCUUUGAACGCAUAUUGCGCCCCUUGGUAUUCCGGGGGGCACACCUGUUCGAGCGCCAUUUCAACCCUCAAGCAUAGCUUGGUGUUGGGCAUGGUCCUGCGGGACCUACCCGUAACUUGUAGGCGGUCGCCGCCCGCACCCCCAGCGUAGCAAGCUUCUCAUGCAUUUCGCUCGGGGUUGGUGCGUUUGGCAGCCCGAAGUUUUUUUAUUUUUGUUUGGCCUCGGAUCAGGUGGGGAUACCCGCUGAACUUAAGCAUAUCAAUAAGCGGAGGA